rnacentral:rRNA from 1 species
ACGGUGAGUAACGCGUAUCCAACCUGCCGUCUACUCUUGGACAGCCUUCUGAAGGAAGAUUAAUACAAGAUGGCAUCAUGAGUCCGCAUGUUCACAUGAUUAAAGGUAUUCCGGUAGACGAUGGGGAUGCGUUCCAUUAGAUAGUAGGCGGGGUAACGGCCCACCUAGUCUUCGAUGGAUAGGGGUUCUGAGAGGAAGGUCCCCCACAUUGGAACUGAGACACGGUCCAA